UAAGUAGGUGACCAGCGUUGUCCGGAUUUACUGGGCGUAAAGAGCGCGCAGGCGGUCGUUCAAGUCGAGUGUGAAAGCCCCCGGCUCAACUGGGGAGGGUCACUCGAUACUGAUCGACUUGAAGGCAGGAGAGGGAAGCGGAAUUCCCGGUGUAGUGGUGAAAUGCGUAGAUAUCGGGAGGAACACCAGUGGCGAAGGCGGCUUCCUGGCCUGUUCUUGACGCUGAGGCGCGAAAGCUAGGGGAGCAAACGGG
rnacentral:rRNA from 1 species